rnacentral:rRNA from 1 species
ACGCUGGCGGCAGGCUUACACCUGCAAGUCGAGCGGAGCGAGGGUGCUUGCACCUUAGCUUAGCGGCGGACGGGUGAGAUAAUGCUUAGGAAUCUGCCUAUUAGUGGGGGACAACAUUCCGAAAGGAAUGCUAAUACCGCAUACGCCCUACGGGGGAAAGCAGGGAUCUUCGGAACUUGCGCUCAAUAGAUGAGCCUAAGUCGGAUUAGCUACUUGGUGGGGUAAGGCCUACCAAGGCGACGAUCUGUAGCGGGUCUGAGAGUGAUGAUCCGCACACUGGGACUGAGACACGGCCAGACUCCUACGGGACGCAAGCAGUGCGUAAUAUUGGACAAUGCGCGGAAGCCUGAUCCAGCCAUGCCGCGUGUGUGAAGAAGGCCUUCUGGUUGUAACGCACUAUAAGCGAGGAGGAGGCUACUAGUAUUAAUACUACUGGAUAGUGGACGUUACUAGCAGAGUAAGCACUGGCUAACUCUGCGCCAGCAGCCGCGGUAAUACAGAAGGUGCGAUCGUUAAUCGCAUUUACUGGGCGUACAGCGUGCGUAGGCGGCUUUUCAAGUCGGAUGUGAUAUCCCGGAGCUUAACUUGUGAGUUGCAUUC